CCUACGGGAGGCAGCAGUGGGGGAUAUUGCACAAUGGACGAGAGUCUGAACCAGCCAAGUAGCGUGAAGGAUGACUGCCCUAUGGGUUGUAAACUUCUUUUAUAUGGGAAUAAAACGUUCCACGUGUGGGAUUUUGUAUGUACCAUAUGAAUAAGGAUCGGCUAACUCCGUGCCAGCAGCCGCGGUAAUACGGAGGAUCCGAGCGUUAUCCGGAUUUAUUGGGUUUAAAGGGAGCGUAGGUGGAUUGUUAAGUCAGUUGUGAAAGUUUGCGGCUCAACCGUAAAAUUGCAGUUGAAACUGGCAGUCUUGAGUACAGUAGAGGUGGGCGGAAGUCGUGGUGUAGCGGUGAAAUGCUUAGAUAUCACGAAGAACUCCGAUUGCGAAGGCAGUUCACUGGACUGCAACUGACACUGAGGCUCGAAAGUGUGGGUAUCAAACAGGAUUAGAUACCCCUGUAGUC
rnacentral:rRNA from 1 species